GACGAACGCUGGCGGCGUGCUUAACACAUGCAAGUCGAACGGAAAGGCCCUGCUUUUGUGGGGUGCUCGAGUGGCGAACGGGUGAGUAACACGUGAGUAACCUGCCCUUGACUUUGGGAUAACUUCAGUAAACUGGGGCUAAUACCGGAUAGGAGCUCCUGCUGCAUGGUGGGGGUUGGAAAGUUUCGGCGGUUGGGGAUGGACUCGGGGCUUAGCAGCUUGUUGGUGGGGUAGUGGCUUACCAAGGCUUUGACGGGUAGCCGGCCUGAGAGGGUGACCGGACACAUUGGGACUGAGCUAAGGCCCAGACUCCUACGGGAGGCAGGAGUGGGGAAUAGUGCACAAUGGGAGGAAGCCUGAUGCAGGAACGACGCGUGCGGGAUGACGGCCUUCGGGUUGUAAACCGCUUUCGCCUGUGACGAAGCGUGAGUGACGGUAAUGGGUAAAGAAGCACCGGCUAACUACGUG
rnacentral:rRNA from 1 species